rnacentral:rRNA from 1 species
UACCAGCACCCCGAGUGGUCGGGACGAUUAUUGGGCCUAAAGCAUCCGUAGCCGGUUUUACAAGUCUUCCGUUAAAUCCACCUGCUCAACAGAUGGGCUGCGGAAGAUACUAUAGGGCUAGGAGGCGGGAGAGGCAAGCGGUACUCAGUGGGUAGGGGUAAAAUCCUCUGAUCCAUUGAAGACCACCAGUGGCGAAGGCGGCUUGCCAGAACGCGCUCGACGGUGAGGGAUGAAAGCUGGGGGAGCAAACCGG